GUGCCAGCAGCCGCGGUAAUACGAAGGGGGCUAGCGUUGUUCGGAAUUACUGGGCGUAAAGCGCGCGUAGGCGGACCAUCAAGUCGGGGGUGAAAUCCUGGAGCUUAACUCCAGAACUGCCUUCGAUACUGUUGGUCUUGAGGUCGGGAGAGGUGAGUGGAACUGCGAGUGUAGAGGUGAAAUUCGUAGAUAUUCGCAAGAACACCAGUGGCGAAGGCGGCUCACUGGCCCGAAUCUGACGCUGAGGCGCGAAAGCGUGGGGAGCAAACAGGAUUAGAUACCCUGGUAGUCC
rnacentral:rRNA from 1 species